rnacentral:rRNA from 1 species
GGUUGAUCCUGCCAGUAGUCAUAUGCUUGUCCUAAAGAUUAAGCCAUGCAUGUCCAAGUAUAUACCUUUAUACGGUGAAACUGCGAAUGGCUCAUUAUAUCAGUUAUAAUUUACUUGAUGGAUUGUUUACUACUUGGAUAACCGUGGUAAUUCUAGAGCUAAUACAUGCAGGAGGGCCCGACUUUUGGAAGGGCAGUAUUUAUUAGAUAAAAACCGACUGCAGUGGAGACGCUGCAAGCUGGUGAGUCAUGAUAACUGGGCGGAUCGUAUGGCCGUGAGCCGACGACGCUUCA